CCACUCUGGGUCUGGGGAGAAGGAUGUUUUACCUGUCGCCUAUGCUUCAGUCGUUACCUAGGAGACGGGACCCGUCUGGCUGCCUUAGAGUUGGCGCCUGCGCACUGAGAGUUGGCGCCUGCCAGUGGCGUGAGGGGCUUCAUCAGCGCAAAGCAUAUCCGUUGUUUUGCCACAGUUGUCACAGACAUGAAGUUCUGUGAAUCGGAGUAGUGUACUGACAGACUAAUGCACUGAUAGAUGGGACAGAAAGGCAAGAUAAUGUCUUUUGCAGGCUCAGGAGUCAAAGGGCACAUUUGAAUCCUGGCGCACCUCUCUCUAUCCAUGUGAUGUCCUGCAAUUUAAGGUCUGUAUACCCUAGUUUCCUCUUCUGUAUUAAAAAAAAAAAAAAAAAGGAGGCUAUAAUAUUAAUAAUAACCUUAAUAGCCAUAAAGAAAGCUGAGCGCCAGAGAAUUGAUGCUUUUGAACUGUGUUGUUGGCGAGUACUCUUGAGAGUCCCUUGAACUGCAAGGAGAUCCAGCCAGUCCAUCCUAAAGGAAAUCAGUCCUGAAUAUUCAUUGGAAGGAAUGAUGUCGAAGCUGAAGCUCCAAUACUUUGGACAUCCCACGCGAAGAACUGACUCAUUGGAAAAGACCCUGAUGCUGGGAAAGAUUGAGCACAGGAGGAGAAGUAGACGACAGAGGAUGAGAUGGUUGGAUGCCAUCAACGACUCGAUGGACAUGAGUUUGAGCAAACUCCUGGAUGUUGGUGAUGGACAGAGAAGCCUGAUGUGCUGCCGUGCAUGGGGUAGCAAAGAGUCGGACACGGCUGAGUGACGGAACAGAGGUGAACUGGUGUUGCUAGUAUAUCAUGCGGAAUACCAGAUUGGAUGAAGCACAAACUGGACUCAAGAUUGCCAGGAGAAAUAUCAAUAACCACAGAUACGCAGAUGACACCACCUUUAUGGCAGAAAACAAAGAAGAACUAAAGAGGCUCUAGAUGGAAGUGAAAAAGGAGAGCAAAAAUUUGGCUUAAAACUCGACAUUCAGAAAUCUAAGAUCAUGGCAUCCAGUCCCAUCACUUAAUGGUGAAUAGAUGGGGAAACAAUGGUAACAGUGACAGACUUUAUUUUUGGGGGCUCCAAAAUCACUUCAGAUGGUGACUGCAGCCAUGAAAUUAAAAGGUGCUUGCUCCUUGGGAGGAAAGCUAUUCCAACCUAGACAGCAUAUUAAA
ensembl:lncRNA